UCUCCCUUAGCUCAGUGGUAGAGCGCGACACUAGUAUUUACCGUUCUGGAAUGUCGAGGUCAGUCGUUCAAAUCGGCUAGGGAGAA